rnacentral:rRNA from 1 species
UACGAAGGGGGCUAGCGUUGCUCGGAAUUACUGGGCGUAAAGCGCACGUAGGCGGUCUUUUAAGUCGGGGGUGAAAUCCUGGAGCUCAACUCCAGAACUGCCUUCGAUACUGGAAGACUCGAGUCCGGGAGAGGUGAGUGGAACUGGCGAGUGUAGAGGUGAAAUUCGUAGAUAUUCGCAAGAACACCAGUGGCGAAGGCGGCUCACUGGCCCGGUACUGACGCUGAGGUGCGAAAGCGUGGGGAGCAAACAGG